CUUGGUCAUUUAGAGGAAGUAAAAGUCGUAACAAGGUCUCCGUAGGUGAACCUGCGGAGGGAUCAUUACACAAAUAUGAAGGCGGGCUGGAACCUCUCGGGGUUACAGCCUUGCUGAAUUAUUCACCCUUGUCUUUUGCGUACUUCUUGUUUCCUUGGUGGGUUCGCCCACCACUAGGACAAACAUAAACCUUUUGUAAUUGCAAUCAGCGUCAGUAACAAAUUAAUAAUUACAACUUUCAACAACGGAUCUCUUGGUUCUGGCAUCGAUGAAGAACGCAGCGAAAUGCGAUAAGUAGUGUGAAUUGCAGAAUUCAGUGAAUCAUCGAAUCUUUGAACGCACAUUGCGCCCUUUGGUAUUCCAAAGGGCAUGCCUGUUCGAGCGUCAUUUGUACCCUCAAGCUUUGCUUGGUGUUGGGCGUCUUGUCUCUAGCUUUGCUGGAGACUCGCCUUAAAGUAAUUGGCAGCCGGCCUACUGGUUUCGGAGCGCAGCACAAGUCGCACUCUCUAUCAGCAAAGGUCUAGCAUCCAUUAAGCCUUUUUUUCAACUUUUGACCUCGGAUCAGGUAGGGAUACCCGCUGAACUUAAGCAUAUCAAUAAGCGGGAGGAAA
rnacentral:rRNA from 1 species